rnacentral:misc_RNA from 1 species
UUCCUUGUACAAAAUGAAGAAAGAGAGUGCAGGACCACUGUCCAUGACAUCUGUUGCACUAUGCUGGACAUUUUGGCGCAAAAACUGAAUUUUCCUUUUUGUAACUGUGACUAGAAAGUUGUACUCUAUGAUAAACCCUCCGAAACCACUCUUCCCUUCAAUUGGCCAUGUGAGAACUGUAAGUUAAGGGUCUAUUGUUGUCUGAACUGACGCCACGCAGAAUCUGCAAGAUCCAGGCCGUCUAUUUUUUUGCUCUCGUGAAUGACAGGAAGCGUGUUUGGUUGCAAUUCGGGUCGUCAAGUUAACAUUGUUUUUUCUCUGCUGCACCGAGUCUCCGUCCACCAAGCCUACCUCUAUUCGGGGCGUGUCAUCUUGGCAGGCCGGCCAUGAUUCACUGAUUUUCAGUGCGUGUCAGGCAUUUUGCCUGUUCUGCUCUGGUGAGUCCCGUUGAGUAGGCACGCAGAAUUUAGGUGCCAAGUGACCUGGUUUCGUAUUGUUUGCUCUCCUUAUCCUGUGUGUAUAUAACAUUCCUUUUCCUUUUGUUAUCACCGGAGUGUUACCAUCUCUGGUGUGCUCAGGCUAGCAGUGUGUAGCCUGUGUAUUUGUAUAGCAUUACUUGCGAAAGUGUCGCCAUUACUAUUCCUAAUUAGCAUUUGGUAGUAGUCGUUUCACUAGGCUAGCAGUUGUAGCCCAUAUUUACCUGUUACUUUUAGUGUUGGAUUUUGGCUUUUUUUGUUUUGUCUGUCAGCAGUUGUGACAGACGCCCUUUAUUUAUCCAAGGAAUUCCUUUUGUUCUUCUUCGUUGAUUUCAACGACAGUAUAUCAUUAUGGUUGAUGUUUCCCAUAAAGAUUAGGUUAUUGAGGUACAGUUUCUGGAGCCAACAACCCCCAGAUCUUUGUUUCAGAAGCUCUCUGGAGUUGGCAUUAAGGCUGCAGACCACCUGGCAGCCGUCCAACCAUUGCCUGGUAACAAAUUUGAUAUUGUAUUUAAGUCGGUGGCCCUGUGCAGACAGUUGCACCCUCAAGUGAGCAGUAUAGAUGGGUGCAUGGUCACCCGAUUUAACGAUAUUGUCAUUAUCACGAUACAUUAUAUUAGCAUGUGUAUUCAUGACAGCAUUGUUCGCAGUAUUUUGAGUGAGUUUGGAGAGGUGAUUGCCGGUCGAUUUACGACUUACGGGGACAACCCCACAGUGUUCAACGGUACAAGGCAGUAUAAAAUGAAAUUGACCAAGCCUAUUCCCACGGUUCUUCGUAUCGGGGACCGAAAUGCAUGGGUCUCGUAUCCAGGUCAAAUUCGCACGUGUGCCCGUUGUGGAGAACAGGGACACUAUGCCAGAGACUGUACUAAUACUAAAUGUUUUAAAUGUCUUCAGAUUGGCCACGUUGCGGGUGAUUGCCCUAAUCAAGUCAUUUGCACAAUUUGCAGGAUGGAGGGCCAUAGCUUCCGCUAUUGCCCUAAAUCUUUUGCUAAGGCAGUACAACCAGACAGAGCUUGGAGUUCGGUUUCGAGCAACCCCUCCACUUCAUCAGGUGAUCAGGUAGCCAUUGCUCCUGAUGCCAGCUCGAAAGAGAAAGGGUUAAAGGAAUUGCCAGCUGGGAAGUGUCUCAAAUGUAAACAGAGUGCUGGUCCUUUUCAUCCUAGUAUCUGUUGUUUUUCUUGUAAACUUCCUCUUUCCUUUUCCAAGCCUUUUUCCAUUCUAGAGUGUGCAGCAUGCAAGGGUGUUAACGGUCAGCCAUCGCUGGUGUGCCAUCGGGAUAGUUGCAAGUCUGUUCAGGCACCUGAAUCUAAUGACGGUUUUCGGGUGGUGAGGAGAAGAAAGAGAGCUGCAAAAAGAUCUAGUUCUCCCCCCGUCCAGCCAUCUACUAAGAAGGCAACGCCGAUGCCCUCGUCGACUGGAGGCGGUGGAGAGACAGCUCCCACUGCAGCGGAUAUUUUUGGUUCCGAUUUAGAUAGUGUCUCCUCUAUGGAUUCUUGUCCCGCGAGAGACCCGAUUUCUAGUUUUCUUUCUGAGGGGAGUGCAGAAAGUCUUGAAGAGACUCUUUCUCUUCCCGAACUGGAUUCUGCUCUUCGCAGUAUGCAGAAUGAAAGGUGUCCGGCAGGGAUGUCCAUUGUCGCCUCUCCUUUAUGUCGUUUUCAUUGAGCCCUUUGCGGCGGCUGUUCGCAAUGAUGAAGACAUUCAAGGAAUCUUCAUCCCCGGUAAAACAGAACUGGUUCGCCGAGCCACUGUCUGCCAGCCAACAGAACGGGGUGGCCUUGGUGUCACGAGCGUGAGGUUGAAAUCGG